CUACGAAGGGUGCAAGCGUUAAUCGGAAUUACUGGGCGUAAAGCGCGCGUAGGCGGCUAGGUAAGUCGGAUGUGAAAGCCCCGGGCUCAACCUGGGAAUUGCAUUCGAAACUGCCUGGCUAGAGUAUGGUAGAGGGAAGCGGAAUUCCACAUGUAGCGGUGAAAUGCGUAGAUAUGUGGAGGAACACCAGUGGCGAAGGCGGCUUCCUGGACCAAUACUGACGCUGAGGUGCGAAAGCGUGGGGAGCAAACAGGAUUAGAAACCCCAGUAGUCC
rnacentral:rRNA from 1 species